GUGGAUGCUGACCACCCACCAAUUUUUUUCGUGGGUGCUCCAGCCCCAGAGCACCCAUGGUGUCGGUGCCUAUGCCCUGAUCGACUUGGCAACUUAAAGAUCGUAAGCACCAGGAUAUGAUGGGGUUAAGAAGAGUAUCUACUGAUGCUGUGAAAGAUACACCGUAACAAAGAAACCUGUUUUCUACAGAUACUAAUUAGACAGUGUAUCUACAAAAGAUGACUGAGGGAGAAAACAGGCCACUGAUCCUUCCUAGCAAGAAGACAACAUAA